UACGGCCAUAUUACGUUGAAGCACCAGUUUUCGUACGACCACAAAAGUUAAACAACGUCGAGCCUGGGAGUACCUAUAUGGGUGACUGCUUGGGAAUACAGGUGCUA